GAAAAAUGAAACUGAAGAGGGAAACCCCUAUAUCCUAGCUCAAGAGAACACUUCCACUUUGACAGAGCAAAGAUCAAUGUCCUUUCAACAUGUUUUGAAAGCAGCUGGUUUGGAUGGCAAGAUGACAAUUAUGAAAUGAAAAGAUGGAAAUGAAUACAAAGGAUAUCUUCAGGGGAAAAUCAGUAUGAUCUGAUGCCUGGAUGUACAAGAGGAAUUAGAAUGAGACUGUGGAUGACGUAAGUGCCACGUGACCCCUGAGACUGGGUCAGAAAAGACCACACUCCUGAGCUGCCAAGUCAGAAGUUAGACUACCUUGAGACUAUCACAAUGGAGAAGGUACAUGAAGGCCUUUUGAUGGACAGUCCCAGUUGAAUCCAGCCCAUGUCACAGGUGCUUUCCCUGUGCCUAAAAAUGAGUUGUGAAGAAACUGUGCUGGAUAAAUAAAUGCCCCCAAAUGAAAAAUCUUUAUAGUUACUGGUGAUUUUUUAUUUAAAAUCCAAACAACGCUGUCAUUAUUUUUGUUUUCUUUU